AUUGAACGCUGGCGGCAUGCCUUACACAUGCAAGUCGAACGGUAACAGGUCUUCGGAUGCUGACGAGUGGCGAGCGGGUGAGUAAUACAUCGGAACGUGCCCAGACGUGGGGGAUAACGAGGCGAAAGCUUUGCUAAUACCGCAUACGAUCUAAGGAUGAAAGCAGGGGACCGCAAGGCCUUGCGCGUUUGGAGCGGCCGAUGGCAGAUUAGGUAGUUGGUGGGAUAAAAGCUUACCAAGCCGACGAUCUGUAGCUGGUCUGAGAGGGCGACCAGCCUGAUGGGGACUGUGACACGGCGCAGACUCCUACGGGUGGCAGCAGUGGGGAAUUUUGGACAAUGGGCGAAAGCUUGAUCCAGCAAUGCCGCGUGCAGGAUUAAGGCCUUCGGGUUGUAAACUGCUUUUGUACGGAACGAAAAGGCCCUGGCUAAUACCUGGGGCACAUGACGGUACCGUAAGAAUAAGCACCGGCUAACUACGUGCCAGCAGCCGCAGUAAAAC
rnacentral:rRNA from 1 species